AACUAACGCUGGCGGCGUGCCUAACACAUGCAAGUCGUACGAGAAAGCCGGCUUCGGCUGGUGAGUAAAGUGGCGCACGGGUGAGUAACGCGUGGAUAAUCUGCCCUUAAGUGUGGAAUAACGUACCGAAAGGUGCGCUAAUACCGCAUAAUGCCUGGCAACACAAGUUGUCCGGCCAAAGAAGGCCUCUGUUUACAAGCUUUCGCUUCAGGAUGAGUCCGCGUACCAUUAGCUAGUUGGUGAGGUAAAGGCUCACCAAGGCGGCGAUCUGUAGCGGGUCUGAGAGGAUGAUCCGCCACACUGGAACUGAGACACGGUCCAGACUCCUGCGGGAGGCAGCAGUGGGGAAUUUUGGACAAUGGGGGCAACCCUGAUCCAGCCAUGCCGCGUGAGUGAAGAAGGCCUCGGUUGUAAGACUCUUUCGCCGGGAAAAGUACGACAUCAGUUAAUACCUGGUGUGGAUGAUGGUACCGGAAUAAGAAGACACCGGCUAACU
rnacentral:rRNA from 1 species